rnacentral:tRNA from 1 species
GCCUGGGUGACGCAGUUGGUUGAGUGUCUGACUUCAGCUCAGGUCACGAUAUCAUGGUUUAUGGGUUCGAGCCCCCUGUCAGGCU